UGGGGAAUAUUGGACAAUGGGCGCAAGCCUGAUCCAGCAAUGCCGCGUGUGUGAAGAAGGUCUUCGGAUCGUAAAGCACUUUCGACGGGGACGAUGAUGACGGUACCCGUAGAAGAAGCCCCGGCUAACUUCGUGCCAGCAGCCGCGGUAAUACGAAGGGGGCUAGCGUUACUCGGAAUUACUGGGCGUAAAGGGCGCGUAGGCGGCGCUCCAAGUUAGGCGUGAAAGUCCUGGGCUCAACCUGGGAACUGCGCUUAAGACUGGAGUGCUUGAGGAUGGAAGAGGGUCGUGGAAUUCCCAGUGUAGAGGUGAAAUUCGUAGAUAUUGGGAAGAACACCGGUGGCGAAGGCGGCGACCUGGUCCAUUACUGACGCUGAGGCGCGACAGCGUGGGGAGCAAACAGG
rnacentral:rRNA from 1 species